rnacentral:rRNA from 1 species
UACGUAGGGGGGCAAGCGUUGUCCGGAAUUAUUGGGCGUAAAGCGCGUGUAGGCGGUCCGGUAAGUCGGCUGUGAAAGUCCAGGGCUCAACCCUGGGAUGCCGGUCGAUACUGCCGGACUAGAGUUCGGAAGAGGCGAGUGGAAUUCCCGGUGUAGCGGUGAAAUGCGCAGAUAUCGGGAGGAACACCAAUGGCGAAGGCAGCUCGCUGGGACGGUACUGACGCAUGAGAC